GAUGAACGCUGGCGGCGUGCCUAAUACAUGCAAGUCGAGCGAACAGACGAGGAGCUUGCUCCUCUGACGUUAGCGGCGGACGGGUGAGUAACACGUGGAUAACCUACCUAUAAGACUGGGAUAACUUCGGGAAACCGGAGCUAAUACCGGAUAAUAUAUUGAACCGCAUGGUUCAAUAGUGAAAGACGGUUUUGCUGUCACUUAUAGCUGGAUCCGCGCCGCAUUAGCUAGUUGGUAAGGUAACGGCUUAUCAAGGCAACGAUGCGUAGCCGACCUGAGAGGGUGAUCGGCCACACGGGAACUGAGACACGGUCCAGACUCCUACGGGAGGCAGCAGUAGGGAAUCGUCCGCAAUGGGCGAAAGCCUGACGGAGCAACGCCGCGUGAGUGAUGAAGGUCUUCGGAUCGUAAAACUCUGUUAUUAGUGAAGAACAAAUGUGUAAGUAACUAUGCACGUCUUGACGGUACCUAAUCAGAAAGCCACGGCUAACUACGUG
rnacentral:rRNA from 1 species